rnacentral:rRNA from 1 species
UAGGGAAUCUUCGGCAAUGGGGGCAACCCUGACCGAGCAACGCCGCGUGAGUGAAGAAGGUUUUCGGAUCGUAAAGCUCUGUUGUAAGAGAAGAACGUGUGUGAGAGUGGAAAGUUCACACAGUGACGGUAGCUUACCAGAAAGGGACGGCUAACUACGUGCCAG